UACGUAGGGUCCGAGCGUUGUCCGGAAUUACUGGGCGUAAAGCGCACGUAGGCGGCUUUGUAAGUUAGAGGUGAAAGCCCGGGGCUCAACUCCGGAAUUGCCUUUAAGACUGCAUCGCUAGAAUUGUGGAGAGGUGAGUGGAAUUCCGAGUGUAGAGGUGAAAUUCGUAGAUAUUCGGAAGAACACCAGUGGCGAAGGCGACUCACUGGACACAUAUUGACGCUGAGGUGCGAAAGCGUGGGGAGCAAACAGG
rnacentral:rRNA from 1 species